rnacentral:rRNA from 1 species
ACGUACGCUGGCGGCACGCCUAACACAUGCAAGUCGAGCGCUACCUUCGGGUGGAGCGGCGGACGGGUUAGUAACGCGUGGGAAUAUACCCAGUUCUAAGGAAUAGCCACUGGAAACGGUGAGUAAUACCUUAUACGCCCUUCGGGGGAAAGAUUUAUCGCUGAUGGAUGAGCCCGCGUAAGAUUAGGUAGUUGGUAGGGUAAUGGCCUACCAAGCCGACGAUCUUUAGCUGGUCUGAGAGGAUGAUCAGCAACACUGGAACUGAGACACGGUCCAGACUCCUACGGGAGGCAGCAGUGGGGAAUAUUGC